GUCUUCAAGGGGAUGAAAGCAGAGAGGAAGGGGAAAUUAAAAACAUGGAAGAAGCAGCAGCAAAAUUCCAGCUCUCUCCCUGCUCUCCCUCAGCAAGGGAGGGAGAGAUCUAAAGAGAGAACAGUUCCGUAUUGUUCCGCGUGCUCAACUUGUACCCAAAGUCAUGGCAUUUAUGAAAUUCCAAACACUGGCCCGAUUUACGCAAUCUGGCAGCUCUCCGUGUUUUUUAUUCCUGUUAACACUAACUAUCAGGCCUUGCUAUAUAAGGCCAAGAGAAGUGCUAACUAUAUCCUGCAGAGAGAGCAAGUGAGGUGGGAGCAGCAGAGACGGAGGCUCCUGGAACAUCUGAUCCCUUUCCAUAAAGGCCAGAGCGUUAUUUAGAGCCGCGCGCCCGGCUCUUGGCACGGGCUGCAGGGUGGGAAAACGCCUGGACUGCAAUCGACCUGAGAGUUCCAAAAUCCGCUCCCAAAAAAACCAACUGCUUCCCUCCCUAGUGGCUUCCGAGUUUAACCUCUCCUCCCUGCUCAGGGGAGAGAAAUAAACAGUUUAUGCAAGGGAAAAAAAGCUUGAGCAAAAAGUCUCUUUUGCGAUGAACUGAGCACGGAGUGGUCAGAGCUGGUGGAGCACUGGCUGCCCCAGAAAUGUGACACUGGUUCCCAGCUACUCCUGUCCCAGCAACCUUAAUAUCAGGUACCAGGGUCCUGCAUAAACCAUGAAGAAUUGACUGAUCCCAAGUGCUGAGCCUGCAGAGACACACACACACAAACAAACAUGCACUCACCUUUGUCACAGCUGAACGAGCGUUUCAGCUGCAGAAGCAAAAUUUGUCAAGCCAACAAGUCUAACUUUGGUUUCCUAGGAUUCCUUCUCAGCAGUGCUUGUGUAUUUUAACUGCUUCCAUUUAGUGCUGAAGAAACUCUUCAGUCUGAGAACUAAAAAUUGAUGUUGCAAAGGAACAAUACAGCGAACCGCUCUGAUAAUGAGGCUCUGAAGUGCAGGGAGGAUGUUUGGAUCUGAAGAGGAAAUCACUUGCUUUGCAGACAGCAGCUCUGGGAAGCCAAGGCAAAGGAACCCUCCUUUCUGUGAGCAAAACAAGCUGCAGACCAAACUCCUGGAGCCAACGUGGCGCCUUGUCCUUGAUCUGCACUUCCCUUCCGGAGACAAGCAGUAAACAACUGGAACUGAAGUUUAAUUUGACAGUGCAGACUCUUACUCAGCUCCAAACCCAGAAGGUUUCUGCAGAUAGUGAAAGGCACCACUCAAGCACCUCCAAACAAUCAGCUCCUUUGCCUGUUUGUACCAAUGCUCUUCCGUGAUGAAAGUGAAGUUUCUUGUUUACGCUCAUCUGCUUUGACUGAUAGCCCCAGUUUGGCAAGGAAUAAAAAGACUACUUUGGAAAACUA